rnacentral:rRNA from 1 species
UACGUAGGGGGCAAGCGUUGUCCGGAUUUACUGGGCGUAAAGAGCGUGUAGGCGGCCACGCAGGUCCGUUGUGAAAACUGGAGGCUCAACCUCCAGCUGUCGACGGAAACCGUAUGGCUAGAGUCCGGAAGAGGAGAGUGGAAUUCCAGGUGUAGCGGUGAAAUGCGUAGAUAUCAGGAAGAACACCGGUGGCGAAAGCGCUCUGCUAGGCCGCAACUGACACUGAGGGACGAAAGCUAGGGGAGCGAAUGGG